AUAUAGAUGAUAAAGUGCACUUCGGUUUUAGUAUACAUAAUAUGCGUUCAUAUGAGGCUCGCACAAAGUGUAAAAAUAUAAAGGUCAGAAGAUAAAAGAAGAACCAAUGUCAAGAAUGAUCGUGUUAUCAUAACGAUUGCAUUUCGAACAAGAUAAAUAAUUUAUAAUCAGACUGAUUAAAACAAAAAGACCAUUUGCAAGGUAAGAAAAUAUUAUUUGUAAUUUAUUCAUGUUUUAAAAUUAAGAAUGUUCAAAAAGACAACAACCUUCACAAAGAGCAGGAAAUAGCUGAAGGUUACCAAUGGCUCUUCAACCUGUUCAAUACAGCGAGAAUAAUUCCACAACCGGAGGCGUGCUUCAACUGGCCCCUAAGCAAAAAUAUGUACUAGUUUAGUGAUAAUGGACGUUUUACUUAACUCAAAACAUUUAAAGAAACUAAAAAUAAAUAUUAAAAAAUCAUGUCUAGCAAAGGCCAGAGGCUCCUGACUUGGGACAGGCGCAAAAAUGCGGCGGGGUUAAACAUGUUUUUUAUAUCUCAAUCCUCCCUCUUUACUGCAUAUUUUAACAACAACGUUGGUUUAAACUUCCGUUCCACUGAAUAGUUGAUUAUUUUAAUGACUACUUUGAUUGAGCAAUUAACCCCAAGCUUUUUAUUUAGUAUUCAAAAUCACCAUAGACAAUUAAAAUUGAACAGACUCCGAAGAUUGAAAUAUACACAAUAAUUUCCUAAAAAAAGAACCAACUGGCAAUUAACGUUCAGUAACUAAACAUUCUCGGUUCUUUAUGUCUUUUGUUAUUUUGUAAGCUGAUGUUUUGAUUUGAAUCAAUCUAAUGAGUCAAUCAUGUAUGUGAUUGAUUUGUUCUAUUGUUGGGCUGUUACAACAUCGUUUGAGUUUGUAGAGGUUUCAUGCAUGUUUCACCCCGCCAGAUACUGUAUUUGCCAGAACUACGACAGAAACCUGUAUUUCAGUUGUUGUAGAAUGUCUCUGUGUGUAAUAUUAGUAUUUUGUUAAUUGAAUUCAAUAUAUAUUUGUAUCAUGCCAUUGAAGUAUAUUUUUGGUCAUAAACUGAACUGUCAAUACUUAAUUCCAUUAACAAUCAACCUAUUCAAUGUGUAAAUUAAGCAUUCUAAUAGGCGGUUAUAACAACAAUUCUAAUGUGAUUGAAUAUUUCCCGAUAAAUUCUAUUGAUGAAUAUACAAUCACAUAUUUUGCUGUUUGUUUUCAUUAAAUUACAGAGACAUGAUUUUCUAUCUAGAUUAUGACCUCAUAUUAUGUCUACUCCAUUGUAAUCUUACCACGAAAAACUACUUCGAUAGCCUUUUUCCUACGGGUAUCCUUUUGAAUAACAGGGUAUAUAAGCACUUAAUUUCAUGAACUGACUACAUAUGUAGCAGCAUGCAGUUGGGAUUUAUCUAGAACUGAUUCUACAGUUUAGACCUAAAACAAUCAUUUUUUGACAUUUUUAAUUACAUGUACAACUCGCAGUUGACGCGAUAUAUCAGAGCUUGUGUAUCCUGUGAUAAUUUCCUUUAUCGAUGGUUACAGCUUACAAUAAAAGUAUUGCAUCAAGGGUUUCAAAUGGUAAAGUUGAGGCCAUUCUUUAAAUAUUUUAUAGACGACAUCAUAACUACAACGUGUAUCAAAAUUUAUCGGUUCAUAAAUAAUGAUAGUCUGUUUGUGACAUUUUGAGUGAUGGAGGAUUUGGUUGACGCAUGAAUAACAGGAUACGCUUAACUCUUCGACGGAUGCACCAAAUCUGUUGUUUCUUUGGGUACAAAUCACAGAUGUUAUUUGUACCGUCAUUUGUAAGGGAUUUGACCUUUGGUAUAAUAUUGUCAGAUAUACAUACAACAAAAUGACAGUUUGAUACAAUGGACGUAAAAUAGCGAUAUUACUUCAUGACUAUAUAACUGGUACAGGUAUGUGUUUGGAAAUAAGGCGCAUAAUCGGUGCAAAUUUCUUUCUUUAACUCGUAUUUAAAUUUGCCAGUCCUUUUCAUCCUCUUUUGUUUGGUUUGAAAUUCUGCACAAAAAGUUUGAACAUUUUAUUCGACCUGCCCGGAUGCACUGAUAAAAUAUUAGUUUAAAGAUGGCAUUCUGGAUGACGAUGAUUUUAUACAAUAUUUAUCAUUAUAAUAGGGUUGAAGAUUCAGAAUGGUACAAUGAUGCGAUGCAAAUCUCUAAAAAAUAGGAAAGAUGAGUUUGAUACAGUACAUGCUAAUACUGGUAAUACUAAAAUUGAGAAUGGAAAUGGAGAAUGUGCCAAAGAGACAACAACCCGACCAUUGAAAAAAAAAACAACAGCAGAAGGUCACCAACAGGUCUUCAAUGUAGCGAGAAAUUCCCGCACCCAGAGGCGUCCUCAGCCGGCCCUAACAAAUAUAUAUACCAGUUCAGUGAUAAUGAACGCCAUACUAAUUUCCAAAUUGUACACAAGAAACUAAAAAUAAAAUAAUACAAGACUAACAAAGGCCAGAGGCUCUUGACUUUGGACAGGCGCAAAAAUGCGGCGGGGUUAAACAUGUUUGAGAUCUCUCAACCCCCCCCCUUAUACCUCUAGCCAAUGCAGAAAAGUAAACGCAUAACAAUACGCACAUCAAAAAUACUGCAUUGUUAUAUAUAAGUAGAAAGCUAAAAUAAAAAAUAAAAAAAUUCUGCCCUUCGAAUCAUUCAAAAUCGUUCUCAAUUGCAAUCGAAAAUUGUUUUUCCUACAUUUUUAAAUAAACGGUAAUUUAUCGUCGUUAUUUAGCACAAAUUAAUUACAUAUUGAAUUGUUGGCAGAUAGGGAACCACAAUGAAUUGUAUUAUUGACAGAUAUUAAACCAAUCAACCGAUACUCGACAAUAUUAGGCAAUGACUGCAAGUAUCAGUGCAGUACAGUUAAGUGUAUAUGUCCAUCUGUCCAUCUGUAUCAAUUUAUGAAAUACACGCGACGUCAUUCAUAUAACAUGUACAACCGAACAACUAUCCAUUUUUUAUGAGUAGCAUAUAGAUAAUUAUCACUGAACAAAAAAAAUAAAACGAUAUUUUACAAAUAAAGUACUUUCUUUUUAUUUAAAUGUUUAUUUGUAUAGUGCAGAAACUUCAUUAUUCAGAAAACUAUUAAAAACUAUUUUUUUUAAACAGGUAAAGUUGGCAGGAGUUGGAGCAUACUUCAUUGAUCUAAAAGUGAUGAAUUUUCCAUGCAACGCAACACAGUGUAAAUCAAUGAAGAUAUGUUACUCUUAUGAUAAGUGAGCAUUUAUUAAAGUCCUAUGAAACGAGUGACUGGUGAAACAAAAUGUUAUUCAAUUCUUGAACCAAUGCAUGUCUAUCUUAUAAACUUAGUCUUCUGUGCACAAUUUUAUGUUUUUUUCAUCAAACAUAUCGUAUAAUCGUCAACUUGUUUUCUCUUACGGCCUAGCCAAGAUCAGAUGUGCAUUUUGUGUUUCACAUGAAGUCAAAAAUGAGUAUCACCUCAGGGAAAAACUCUUUUGAUAUUUUGGUUCAAAAAUGGUUUAAAAUUAUGAAAAAUUGCUAUCGUUAGGCUAACACUGAAGCAUUUAUAUAAUUACAUGCAGUUUUUGGAAGAAAUAUUUAAAUAUUUUAUUAAAUAAAUGGUGUUUAAAAACUGUAUAAUUUUCUUUAAUGGUUGCUUCAAGACAUGUCACCAGUGUCAGAUUUUUGGUCAAUGACAAAGACAACAAAAUAUGUUUAGAAUUAUUGAAUAUCAAACAUUUUAAUUGAAAAAAAAAAUGACAAGAACAUGUUUAACUCACAGUUAUUUUAAACAACAGUAGCUUUCUUUGAUCAUUAAUCUUAUCUGAUAAAACUGUAUCUAAAAAUUAUCUAUAAAUAACAAAACUUCCAAAAAACCCUUUCUUUGGUGUAUAGAACAUUAAAAUAACUUGAUGCAUAUUCUUACAAUAAACAAUCAAACUUAGCAAUACAAUUUAUAUGUUUUGUCUACGGACAAGACAUUGUAUUCAUAUGUAAUGAAAUGCAUUAUUAAAACCUAAUUUUGAUACAGCUGAAAGUGUUCUCUUAAAAAAAACCAUACAUUUUAUCAGGUUUAUCUAUCAAAUGAUGCUUAACUUCGAGGAAAAUGGAAAAUACAUUUUGAUAAUGUCUACGGACAAGACAUUUUAUUGAUAUUCAAUUUAAAUGCUUUCAAAGAUGAUUGUUAAAGUUAAGAUUAAAAGUUACUAUUUAAAUUUAAGCUGUGUUUUUUAAAUUUUGGAAAAUACAAAAAAUGUACCCAUAAUUCUUUACAUAUCUCAAUAAUUUAUUUGAUUAAGCCAAACUGAAGACACAUUCUUUUAACUGAAAUACAUAUAUCUGACUGUUUAAAACAUCAAACUAUUAUUAAAAACUCAAUUUUGACAUAGUUGAAUGUGUUCUCUUAAAAGAAUAAACAUACAUUUUACCUAUCAAAUUAGGCUGAAAUCAAGGAAAUUGGAUACAAAUAUAUUGUGGUAAUGUCUACGGACAAGACAAUUUCAGUUAAAAAAAAAAUCUGUUAGAAUUAAUUGUGACUAUAUAUUCAUGUUGAAAAUACUAAGUUUUAAUUUGAAUAGAUAACUUUCAUCACUAUAAUAAGAUUUAAGUUCCAUAGCAGACAAAUAAUUCAAUUUAAUACUUGUUAUGUACAAGUGUCUUGUCCGUAGACACUUCUCAUCUGCUGUUAAUACUGAAAUGCAAAGAUAAAGUUAGAGAGAGAGAAAUACUUUUUCUUCAUUUGAUUUAGUUAAUCUUUUAAGGUAUGCAUCAAACUGGAAUAAACAAUAUUGAAGUAAAAUAAGGUAUGCUUUUUAUGACUGAAUAAUCUGACACUUUUUUAAAAUCCACUCCCGUAAGUCAUUUUACAAAAAUUGAGAACACUUAAAUUACCAUUCAUUUAUUAAAAAUAAGAUAUUUCUAAGUUUAAACAACACAUAGGACUAAUUAAGACCCAUAAAGCCAAGCAAUAUUGAUAAAAAGACAUGUCUACGGACAAGGCAUGUGUCUACGGACAAGACAUUCUGACAUAUUUUUGAAUUUUUCCUCUAUCAAUAGAUGGUAGAAAAAAUGUUAGUAGUGUUUUCAUAUCUACAAAAGAACAGGAACUUAGCAAUGCAACAUAAAUGUAAUUAUGCUUCCAGUUUACUAGGGAAUGCAUGUCUACGGACAAGACAUUUUUUCACUUUAUUUGUAUAUCCAACUUUGAUGGCAUAUAUCUCCAGCUAGGGUACUGCAAUUUUGAUAAAUAGGUAGUUUCUGAUAAUGAUAUUACUAGAAGAGAAAAUAAAGACAUAAUAGCAUCAAUUUAAUUUAUUUUUCUCUUAUAUCACUACACUGAGCAAGCUAAAAACAAAGUACAAAAUUGCAUAACGACGCAUAGUAUUCAACUUUUUAUCAUAACUUUGUAACCACUGAAGAUUUUUUUUUGCAACAACCAGUAAAAGAAAGAAGAAUAAAUUGUCUAUAACAGUGAACCAAUAAUGUAGUUCAAAUUAAGUUCAAUAUUAACUAUCAAUUGAUAAAAAAAAGGUAAAUUUUAAAUGAAACAACAUAACGUGUAAUUUUGCCCAUUUUCAGCGUGUAUUUUAGUGUUUUUUUUCAAAACGGUUACACCUAUACAUGAUAUUUGAUAUUCAUUGUGAAACCCUACAUCCUCUUCUUCAGUUCAAAGAUGUAUUACUUAUGUAAAGUUUAUCUUCUUGUCUUUACAAGCCUAUAACAUAGACCCAAUAUGAAAUGCACAUCUGAUCUUGGCUAGGCCGUUAGUCUGUUAUGAUGUGAAAAUAUGGCAGCUGAUUAAUUGUCCUGUUUUGAAGCCGUAGUUUACCGAUUGCUACCUUAAAGAAAACAAUCAAAAAGAAGCAUAGAUAUUGAGCACGUUUAUAUCAUGUACAAGCAGACAAUAGUUUAUUUCAAUUACAGACCCAUGCGUAUUGCGAUCACCGGGUUUUUGACGAGAAGGUCACGCUAAGGUCACUUACAUACAGAUAAUAUGUCGGCGAAGUCUUCCUGGAAGCAAGCAAUUAAAAAAAAUAAACUUCUUCUAAAUGUGGACAAAUUAAAGAAUUUUCUUCAGAAUAAAGUAUAUGUACGUAAGUUUUAUAAUGAAAACUUUUCAUUUAGUUAUAAAAAAAUCUUUUUUUUAUUUAGGUUUCAUAUGACUUUUAACAUCAACAUUUAAAUUAAAUACGUGGUUCCGAUGACAUUGUAUUGAUAGCACUUUGUUUUACAAUGUUCCAUUGAUUGGUAGCGUUGAUUUUGUCAGUUGUUUUAAGACUGCAUCCUUUUUUAAUUUGUCCUUGAUUUCGUUUUUGUUUGGUAUAUUGCAGUUCUGACAUGGUUCAUGCGUUAUCCAAAAUGGUGAGUUAAACUAAGGUUUACAGCUAGCUAAACCUGCUACUUACAUAACAAAGAGUUAAAUUGUACUGUAUUGUUUAAUGGUGAUGAGUGAUAAUGAAAAUGCAAAUAAAAUGAAAGUAUUGUUAGUAUUAAGUGCUUAUUUUUUAAUAUUGUAGGUUUUGUAAUACUGGUUUGCAACCCAAAUACUGUUUAAUGGAUAUGACCAACAACAUGAUCGAUAUAAAUACAACCUAUGCAUUAAAAGGCAACUAUAGUUUUUAUGAAUUUAAAAAGGAGCAUGAUUCAGGGGUAAGUUUUAAUUUAAAAGUAAAUUUCUGAUCUUCAAAUCUCACAAUUGGGAAAAUACAAAGAAAGGUCAUAAAUAGAAAUAAAGGCAGUCGUAAGAACUCUAAAAGGAAUAACAAUGAUAUGCAACUCAUGCUAUGUAUGCUUUAUCUACCAUGCCAAUUGAUACUCAGAUAAUACGGCACAAUUUGGAAUGGCCCGGGCCAUAAACCGUAAAAUUACUGAAAAGAGUAGACCUCUGUUAACGAUGUACGUUCAGUCUGAUCAUGCACUAACAUUAUUUCUGAAUUGAUUUAUAUAAACUCCAUACUAUGAGUUUGAUUCUAGUGAGGUAUUGGAAGUUGACAAUUUGAAAGUUCUCAUCUUAAAAUAUGUCAUACACUUAAUUUUGAAGUCGUAAAUAUUUGCUAUCAUCGAUUUGUUGUGCUUCAAAAACGAAAUCCACAUCUCACACACAAUUGAGAGACCAUAAUACUACAUUUAGAAUGCAUGCAAGGUUCAAUUAACACAUCCAUAUCAUAAAUAAAUCAUUAAAGCUUGUGAAGUAAAUAAAUUGCGCAUUAAACCAAUAGAUAAUUCGAAAAGAUGCAUCGUUUUAUUUGAAAGAUUACAAUCAUAUCCAGUGUUUUUGAAAAUUAUAACGCUAUUCGAGUGUGAUUGAUCUCUUGAAACAGAUUAUACUUAAACUAUUUCAUUUUGUAUUUUACUUUUACGGGUCUUUUUAUUUGUUGUAUGACGGAAAUUUCCAAAAGAGUAAUACCAUUCCUUCAAUAUCAAAUUUUCAUAAUGUCCUUAAAACAUAUUUUAAAUACAGGUGAGAUGAGUAUAUUGAUCUCCUUUAUUGUGCAUUUCAUUUUCUUUCUUCAAAAGGAUUCACCGACAGUGUUGUCUGUUAUACUAAACCAACAAGGAGAGAAAGUUGUAUAUUGUGAGGAUCCAGCAUCUAGAAAUGAGUCAGGAAGUGCCAUGCUUGUUCAUUUUGAAAGCAUGACGACCAUUAAGUAUGAAAAUAAAGGUCGUUAUAGAUUAAAAAAUUUGGCUUUAGAAUAUUUUACAGUCUUGCAUGCUACAAUUAUUGACAAGUAAUUCACAAAAGUACGGAAAAUAUUCUUUUAUAUUUCCUCUGGUCUUUUGCUUAUGUGUUUUGUCUAUAGAGUGUGAACAUGCAAUUUGUUUUACAUCUGUGUUUGUUUGUAUAGUGAUAAAGUCGUUGCUAAAUGAGUAAAACAAUAUCCAGAGAUGUUUAUGUAAUAAAUACAAAAUAACACGAUUUCAUCACAACAAAAAUACAAAUACUGCCAUUUCAUUUUAAACUGUCUGUAUGUCGUACUGUACUUAUAUAGACGAUUGUUUCUAGUUUUAGCUCCAUCGACAUUGAAAUAAAAUCAAAUUGUGAUGAUAAUGAACAUUGUACUGGAGCUUACUGUAACAGAUGCUGUAUGUUAUUUCUAUUACAUAGAAUUUGUUUUUUAUUGUGCUUACAUUGUAAUAACACCAAAAAAAAAAUCAACAAGGUUAUUACAAAAUAUUCAAAAAGUAAUCAUUUCUCAACAAAAUGUCGGAUGUUUUUGUAUCUAAUAAGGAAUAUAAGUAUAACAAACGUAAAGUAAAAUAAUCGUAAAAUCGAAUGUUACUGUUAUUUUCCAUGUCUCAUUUAGCAUAGGUUUCAUAGUGAUCUAGUUUGUUUCUUAGAAUAUGUAACCCCUCAGAUCAUUCCUUUAUUAGCCGACGUCUUUUUUUUGUUUAGUUCUCAUUGACAGUAGUGAUCACAAUUAAUAAUUAACGGUGAUUCGAAACUUAAAUGUAGCUAAUCAAAGCACCAUGAAAAGGUUCCAUCUGCCCAAAAAUGUACUUGGUGAGAAUUAAUUCAAUAGAAACGGAAGUUUCGACAUAUAAUGUCUAACAUCGAUAUUCAUACGUUCCUAGUAACUUUAAAAGAUUGGAGCUGCUCAACAUAUCAACUUUUCAUCAAUAGCAGUAUAACAUAAUGCACUAUCAUCGUUUUCUUCAUAUGGUUGAUACUUUACGAUGCGUUUUUAUUUAUCAUUUAUAAGAGGAAGAUAUAAUUUUAAGACCUAUACUUGUAAAAGUCCGUUUCAUACCAGGUUUCUGCUUUUAUUUAAGUUGUACUGUACAUACCACUGUUGUGAACGCCAUUUGAAAAAUCCAAUGUGACAACAUAAAAAAAUAUUUAAACAAAAUAGAUGGAAUGUAUGAUUUACAUUGAUAUUUUUACUUGUAAUUAAGCUGUGAUUUUCAUGUUAUACAGCUGUUUUACUAUACAAACAAUAGACUAAUUAUAAACACUGCCGGUCAUGUGGUCAUGUCAACGACGAAAACAGAUUUAAUUUUCUUUAUAAAAGAUAAGGAUUCAAAAUAGCUGAAAAAUAAACAUGCAGAGUAAACACAUUUGCCAAUAUCAUCUACUGUGCGUUAAUCUUUGCUACCUUAAUGAUAUGUAAAUGAAACAAAGUACUUUUCAUUCAUUUUCCAACGCCUACCCAUCUACGGUUCUGGUUAACAUUUACUGGUUAUGAGCAUCACCAUUAUUUGUCAACAUUUGAAUUUUGUGUCACCUGCAUGUUAUUUUAAACGUAAAUAGAACUCAUCCUAAUACUUUACCACUUCUGAGAUGUGUCAUUAUUUAUUUAAGAGUUAUAGUACAUCUCAACCUUGAAGUUUUUGAGUUGUUAAGUUUAUUACUUAUGCUGUGAACAUCAUUGUUUUGUUUAAGUAUUUUGAAUACUUAUAUAACGUUUUCUAUUGUUCACUAGAACUGUCGCAUGCUUAUUCAUAAAUGUUGUUAAUAUUGUUUCGUAGAUUUUAGUCCUCCAGUUGUUACAAUAUCAGUUCGAGAGCCUGUCAUCAUUGACGAUAAUGCUACUAUUGUUUGUCGUAUUUUACCUCUAACUAGAGAUACACAGAUUUUGUGGUUAAUGAGUAAUGGAACGUUUUCUAAAACAAUACACUCCAGUGAUAAAUACCAAGUAUCAACCAGCACUUCAAUGAAUUCGUCAAUUCUGACUAUGUACUCAGUACAGCAUGAAGAUGAAUUGAAAUAUUCAUGCCAGGCAAUAAAUUUUAGGCAAACAGGGAGAAGCAAAGAAGUGAGAUUUAAUGCUACUGUAUGUAAGUUUGUUUUUGUAUUAUUAUAAAGAUACAUAUGUUUUUACGUACAUGUAAUAGUUAUCAUUUAUACCAUCUUUUAGAAAAUAUAUUUUGCUUCAUAUCUUAUUUAACUCUUCUAAAGGGAUUUUUUUUAUGUAUGUUGUUGAAGUCUGUACCUUUGGUAUGUUGUCUUAUAUGUCUGAUAUAUACCACACUGUAACAUGUCCUAAUAUAGAUCUUUUAAUAACAUAAGAUAGAAAACAUUCUGUUAGAGAUAAAUUACCCCCUUCAUUUUAAAAGAAUAACGAUUCAGAAAAAGAAAAAAAAUAUAUAUCAAAUUUUUACUUCGAACUUAAAAAACGAUAAUCUUGAACUCCGCUGACGUACCUUCAAUUACAAAUGUAUUAUGUAAAUUUCUCAUUCACAUUUUAUUUUAAAGCGUGUAUAAAAUUACUAACAUAUCAUUAUCAGUGGGAGAAUAAAUGAAGAGAAAAUUCAAUCAUAUAAACAAGUUUUAAGUCAAACCUUUCACUAUCCAUAUCAAUUUAGUUCUUUGUUCUAUGCAUUACUAAUGCAAAUAAUGCAUGAAAAUACAUAUCUUAGCAUAACUGUCAAUUAAAAAAAUCACAAAAAAACUGAACUCCGAGGAAAAUUCAAAACGGAUAGUCCCUUAUCAAAUGGCAAAAUCAAAAGCUGAAAUACAUCAAACGAAUGGAUAGCAACUGUCACAUCUCUGACUAGUUACAGGCAUUUUCCUAUGUAGAAAAUGGUGAAUCUAACCUUUUUUAUAGCUAGCAAAACCUCUCAGUUGUAUGACAGUGGCAUCAAAUUCCUAUGUUUGGUCUGAUUCCUUGUCCAUAUUUUGCUAUAGUUUAGAUUUCUUUUGGACGGCUCUUUAAAGAUCGGAUACAUUUCGUCAAAUUGUAAUUUUUUCUGUAUUUUGCGGUGAUAUUGUCCAGAAAUUUAAGAGAUUGUUUGCCCGGUACUCUUAUAUAUUUGUUGAUAUUACACCACAACUGGGUUCUUUAAUACUGCAUUUAUUUAAGUUAUGACAUGUCACUAAAUACCACAUACCGAUGUGUUUUAUCUGUUAUAAUCAAUCGACGCAUACAAGUGUUAUAAGUCGCAGCAUGAAUUGUUUGCCCUUUGGAAGUCAAUUGUUUGAAUACAACCUCUUGAAAAAGAAAUAUCAGGCAGUAUUGACUCUAAUAGAUCUUUGGAGUUUGUAUUACAUGGUAACGAGUACUCCCUGUUAAAAAUGUUGACAGGUUUAGGUAAAAAUAUCUAAGAUUCUAUGGGAUAAAAGAAACAUAAUAUAUAGGACAACCUCAAGACAAAAAUAAUAAAGAAAAAGAAAACACAUCAUGUUUACAAAACAGAUUGACGGAAAAAACACAAAAAUAGUAACACAAAAAAUUGAGUUGCACGUAUUUGUAUUGAAAGCAUUAAAAGUUCCCGUUUUACUUCGACAACAGUGGUAAAGCUCAAAACGGCUACAAAUCGAUGGUUACAUUGAAUUAGUGAUUGGUUGUGAAGUUACGUGGAAAUAUGUGAUAAAUAGUUCAAUACGAAUUACAUACUUUUGUACUUACUUGCAUCAUAUGCAUUUAAGACAAUGAGUUUUAUGUUAAAAACAUACAACAUUUUCAUAACACCAACAUAGUUUUCAAAUUGAAGCAAGGGGGAAAUAUUACUUGUAUGAGCGAGAUGGACGCUCUGUUUUACAGCGGAAUAUACGGUUUGCACCGAAAUAGGUCGACAAUUUCAAAAUCUUAAUUGCCUCGUGCUUAUUGCAGUAGCAGCAAAUAAUAAUUAUCCGUUAUUGGCUUGACUCAGCCAACAUCCCGCAAACAGGAGAACAAGUUACCACGGGACAAUCGUGCAAGUGUUUUUUAUUCAAUCAAUUACAAUUUAAAAGAACAAAAGUUGCAUAUAUCUUAAGUGUAAGAUUAUACACAUUUCUUUUAUGUGUAUUUAUUAAGAUACGAUGUUUGAUUUAAUCAUUAAAUAAAUAAGGUACAGUCUCUACUAGAAAACCGAUUUGGCAAUUUUGCAUCUCAUUAAAAUGUGUACCAGUAUUUUUAGUCUAAUUUGAUUUCUUUCUUCAGUUUCAACUGAUAAUAUAACUUCAACAGAGUUGAACCAGUUGACAAGCACAAAUCCCACAAGGACCUCUUCAAUCAUAUCAAUUCGUAAUCUCACCACAUUGAAAUUAAGUUCAACAAGCAACUAUAUCACAAUAUCAUCAAGUGCACAUGGAGCCAGCACUACCAUUUCAGUAACAAGUCCAACGACCAAGUCAAGUACUUUAUUGACAAAUAUAAAAUCCGUAAAUACCACCAUCACAAAGUAUUCCAUUGUUCAGUCAAGUGUAACAAUACCUGGUAGGAACACUUCACCAGCUGUUAGUUCAACAGGAAAUUCUGCAACACCAAUACCAACUGUAAAAACAAUUAGUUCAACAGAUCCGACAGUUAGUCCAAUUACAAAAACACCAACAGCUUCGUUAUGUGAUAAAGCUAGUAGUUCAAGUUUUGAAGCAAUUCGAUCAAAAGUAGGUACAAAACUGUAUACAUAUUAUAUGUUAUGUAACAAUUGAAGCGUAUUGAAACUUGAAUUGAAAGUGGUGUUAUUGAAAUCAUAUCAUAUCUUCUUAUUCUAAUAUCAAUGCAUAUUGAACUCAAAACUAUGUUACUAUCAUCAGUAAAACUGAACUACAAAUCUAAAUAUAAUAAAUACAUGCAGGCAAGUGAAAACCUCCACGGUUGUCAAGACAAUAAAUCUAGUAUUAGUAUUUGUUCAUGCAUAACUAUGAGCUAAAAAUGGGACAUGUAAACUCUUCAGCAAAAAACUAAAAAGAUCAAAUGACAAACAACAGUAUACAAACAUAGAAAAAUAACGAUAACUUAAUUUUAAAGGCCUUAUGUCUAUAAUUGUUUAAAUUCGUGUAAUAAUUUUAUCCAAUCUAUUUAAUUUUCAUAAAGCUGAGUGUGGAUUGGUGUCAUCUAAUAAAUAUUUUAUGUAUGUUGUUUUCAGGAAGAAGCCUAUUUUCAAAAACUGGUGAUAAUAGCAACUUGCGCGAUCGUUUUUGUAGAAUUGGUUAUCAUUGCAUUACUGAUAUUGCUUGUUCGGUAAGUACACAUGUAUGAAUAGAGCAAUUCAAAAUAAUGAAAACAGGUAAAGUAUUUCCGAAGUUUGAGAGACUCGUAAAAAAUAACAGUUAUUAUUUGAAUAGCUGCCAUCGUCAAUUCCUAAAUCUACGAUAGUCUCUUCAAAUACAGUAGUAUUAUUCAAUUUGCAAAAUAUCAAAAACACAAAAUAAAAUAUCUCUUACCAUAACAGACUGGAUAAAUGUUACAAGGCCCAUAUAUGUAUCAAAUAAAAUGACGGACAAAGUAAAAGUUUCAAUCACGUACUGAACAAUUGUUUCAAUCACAUGCUAACUAAGAUUAUCAAAAAUGCACACAAGACCAAAGCGAGAAAAUAAUAAAACAAUAUUUUAAACAAUUACUUGCUCCUAUUCGAAAUACUAUAAGUUCCAUUUUGUUGUAUCCUCCAAGUGGUCUUUCUGUAACACAUUUUCAGAACUGACAACCAAUACCUUACAUAACUUUCUUUUGCAGUCGACAAAAACGAUGGCGUUUAGAGAAGAAAACUGACAAAGCCGUCACACAGUUCUAGAAGAGUUCUACGUGAAACAAUUUUAACUAAUUCAAAUAUAUUGUCAAUUGAUAAUAUGUUUAAUGUAAGAAAUAGCCAAUCUCGAAAAAAAAAUCUGUCAAUUAAAAGAACUAUAUAUAGUUUGUGUUAGACAUGAUUUAAGAAGUAUUUAAACUAGAGAUUAUAAAAAAAAGUUUUGCCUAAAGUUAACAAUACUUAUAAGCAGCCUACUCGUAUCAAUUUUCUUUUGUGUUUUGAUUUAUAAGUUUUAAAGUUGAUUUUUUUCAUUAUAUAAAUAAAACAUACUUUAGAAGAAAACAAAUACAUCAUGAUUAAAACAAAAAUGUAUAAAAAAAAUUCUUGUUGAGGCAGCUUCAAUUCUCUAAUUCAUUAUUCAUCAAACUAAUGCAUAUCUAGACUCAAAUAAUCAUAAACGACAAACAGUAGACAUGGUUUACUAUUUUAUUCCAGAUGCUUUUUUAGCAGAGGCAUGCAACGUAUAUAUAAUCUGUACCAACAUAGUUAUACGGAAGAACGACUGACACCAUACUGCUAUGGCGAAACUAAAUACCGACACAUUUUUUCACAUCCUUAGACAUUUAGAUUCCCGAAUUUUCGUCAAAUUUGUUUUGUCUCCAAAUUGAAUCUUGUUCUACCUUCUUAUCGAGUAUGUUUUAACAUGUUGUAUCAUAUAUUCAGAUACGGGCACACUUACCAUGACGGUUCACCAAGUCAGUCUCGCCUUUCCGAGUUCAUGCAAUUACGUUAGCUUUUAUUUG
rnacentral:lncRNA from 1 species